rnacentral:lncRNA from 1 species
CAGACCCCCAUAUAUGGUAAUGUAAACACGGCGCUUCGUAAGCUCUCUGGAGCGUGCGCACUAAAAUGAAUGAGCACAGGAAGACCCGCUCCGGCAGGAAGUGGCAGCCGCUGCCAUGGCAACCAACUGAAACCCGAGGCAGCGAGGGAGAGAGCCUCGCGCCUCUCGCUCGCUGUCUUGACGUCAUUUCUAGUACGGCGCGACUGAGCGGCAGCAGCUGCGGCUCACACGCGGGACAAACAAAGAAGUUUCAUCAGAAAAGCCACGCGAGAGGGACGAGGCAAAUAUUUUGUCUGCGUUUCAAGACCCGUGCGUCAAAGCUAAGUAACAUCAGGCCUCCACUGGACUCCACCAAGGGUGAACCACUUGUCCAUGGUGGGAUGAGUGGAACGUCUAGAAGCCUUUUGCAAGGAUGCAUGGAACACUCUCUGGCUCCUCUGGCAGGAAACACGAAGCCGUUCUGCUUUGUGACUCACGGCGUGACCUUCAGCCAAGCCCUCGUCACAUGGCAGUUUUAAAAGCAGCCAGGGGGAAAUUCAAAUGCUCCAGGAAUACAAUGGUUUAUGAUACUGCACGCACCGACUGCAGGGUACGGAUGAAGAAAAUAGCAGCUACGCAGACGUCACUGAGCCACUUUUAAAUGAGACAUUCUCAAAAAAGACACCAGGAAACACAUGGCGGCAGCUUCCAGAGGAAGUCAAGAGUCAAAAAAACCACUUUGUGUAUAUAUUUAGCACUGGAAUGUAUUAGACUGAACAUGUGUUUUCCCCGUGUCUGUGUCUCUCUGUCACUCUGGUAAUGUGUUCUGCUGUGUAGCUUAGUCAGAUGCCAUUGUCUGCUCGACAACACAAAACCCCAGUGUUCUGAUGCAGCCUCGUUUCUGUUUUCUUUCCCACGUAUGAAACUUUGUUGCCGAAGAAAAAUAAAAAAAUAUAUAUUUGGUACGUUCUCGAAUUG